rnacentral:rRNA from 1 species
UACGUAGGGUGCGAGCGUUGUCCGGAAUUAUUGGGCGUAAAGAGCUCGUAGGCGGUCUGUCGCGUCUGCUGUGAAAUCCCGAGGCUCAACCUCGGGCUUGCAGUGGGUACGGGCAGGCUAGAGUGCGGUAGGGGAGAAUGGAACUCCUGGUGUAGCGGUGAAAUGCGCAGAUAUCAGGAGGAACACCGGUGGCGAAGGCGGGUCUCUGGGCCGAUACUGACACUGAGGAGCGAAAGCGUGGGGAGCGAACAGG